UUUUUUUUUUAAUUUAACAUUUAAUGGAUACUAGUAUUUACACACAACAUAUCAGUUUUCAGUAUGAGUUUUCAAUCUCAUCAAUUGGUAAUCAAAUGCCAUAUACAAAUAGUGCCCUGUUUCUUUGUUGUUGUUUUUUUAUUGAUUAUAUUUUUUUAUUGUAUAGUUUAUAAAAAGAUGUCGAGCUUUCAUUCAUUUAUUGUUGGCUGAUUAUACUGUUUAUGUAGGCAAGUUGAACUCUAGAUGCUUUGUCAACUCACCAUUUAGAAGCGAUUUGAUUUGGAGAGCUAAGUUCAUAGAGCGAAGUAUUUUGUUGUUUUCUUUCGGUUUUAUUGAAGAAAUGGUUUCAAGUAGCCCAUGUGCCUGCAUUCACACACGAAUAUACAAUCCUUUGGAGUCUCUGUAAUGUUACGAGAGCUGAAAGAGAUUUGAUUCUAUUGUACCCAAUGUUAAAGUUAUGUACUCGUAUUUGAUAUAAUAUACAAUGUGGCUCGCACUUAGUCAACUCGUAGCAGACGUUGACAGCUAGUCAUUGUUGACUGUCACACCUGGUUUCAUUAAGAAGACUCAUGUCCACACAAUUAUUGUGUGUCUGUAU